rnacentral:rRNA from 1 species
CCUACGGGAGGCAGCAGUGGGGAAUAUUGCACAAUGGGGGAAACCCUGAUGCAGCGACGCCGCGUGAGUGAAGAAGUAAUUCGUUACGUAAAGCUCUAUCAGCAGGGAAGAAAAUGACUGUACCUGAGUAAUAAGCCCCGGCUAACUACGUUCCAGCAGCCGCGGUAAUACGUAGGUGGCAAGCGUUAUCCGGAUUUACUGGGGGUAAAGGGAGCGUAGAGGGGGUGGCAAUGCUGGAGGGAAAUGCCGGAGGUUAAAUGAGGAUACGCUUUGGAAACUGGCGAACUAGAGUGCGUGAGGGGGAAGCGGAAUUCCUAGUGUAGCGGUGAAAUGCGUAGAUAUUAGGAGGAACACCGGUGGCGAAGGCGGCUUACUGGAUCGUAACUGACGUUGAGGCUCGAAAGCGUGGGGAGCAAACAGGAUUAGAUACCCCUGUAGUC